rnacentral:misc_RNA from 1 species
ACGUAUUUACCGUCUGGGGACAAUACAAAUGAAGUUAUUACUUCAUCCUCUACAAUUAUUUUCUCUGUUUUUGAUUCCAAUCCAACUAACAGUAUCACAUUAUUUUUACAAAGAGAGACCAUCUGUUUCCCAUCACUUGUUAUCCCCAAAUCAGCUAUUUUAGUAAUCCGAUGGCCUUUCCAACACCGCAGCUCUUUCCCUUGAAGAUCCCACAUGCUAAUGCUUUUG